rnacentral:rRNA from 1 species
UACGGGGGGGGGCAAGCGUUUGUUCGGAAUUACUGGGCGUAAAGGGCUCGUAGGUGGCCAACUAAGUCAGACGUGAAAUCCCUCGGCUUAACCGGGGAACUGCGUCUGAUACUGGAUGGCUUGAGGUUGGGAGAGGGAUGCGGAAUUCCAGGUGUAGCGGUGAAAUGCGUAGAUAUCUGGAGGAACACCGGUGGCGAAGGCGGCAUCCUGGACCAAUUCUGACACUGAGGAGCGAAAGCCAGGGGAGCAAACGGG